GAUGAACGCUAGCGGCAGGCUUAACACAUGCAAGUCGAGGGGCAGCAUGAACCGACCUUCGGGAAGGUUUGAUGGCGACCGGCGCAAGGGUGCGUAACGCGUGAGCAACUUGCCCGUUUCUGGGGGAAUAACCCGGUGGAAACGCCGACUAAUACCCCAUGGCAUCAACUUUGGGCAUCCUUAGUUGAUUAAAGAAUUUCGGAAACGGAUAGGCUCGCGUGACAUUAGCUAGAUGGCGGGGUAACGGCCCACCAUGGCGACGAUGUCUAGGGGUUCUGAGAGGAAGGUCCCCCACACUGGAACUGAGACACGGUCCAGACUCCUACGGGAGGCAGCAGUGAGGAAUAUUGCACAAUGGGGGAAACCCUGAUGCAGCAACGCCGCGUGAGUGAAGAAGUAUUUCGGUAUGUAAAGCUCUAUCAGCAGGGAAGAAAAUGACGGUACCUGACUAAGAAGCCCCGGCUAACUACGUG
rnacentral:rRNA from 1 species